CAGCCGCCGCGGGAAUACGUAGGGUGCGAGCGUUAAUCGGAAUUACUGGGCGUAAAGCGUGCGCAGGCGGUUAUGUAAGACAGAUGUGAAAUCCCCGGGCUCAACCUGGGAACUGCAUUUGUGACUGCAUGGCUAGAGUACGGUAGAGGGGGAUGGAAUUCCGCGUGUAGCAGUGAAAUGCGUAGAUAUGCGGAGGAACACCGAUGGCGAAGGCAAUCCCCUGGACCUGUACUGACGCUCAUGCACGAAAGCGUGGGGAGCAAACAGGAUUAGAUACCCCGGUAGUCCCUGUCUCUUAUAC
rnacentral:rRNA from 1 species